rnacentral:rRNA from 1 species
AACGAACGCUGGCGGCAUGCCUAACACAUGCAAGUCGAACGAGACCUUCGGGUCUAGUGGCGCACGGGUGCGUAACGCGUGGGAACCUGCCCUUAGGUUCGGAAUAACUCCCCGAAAGGGGUGCUAAUACCGGAUAAUGUCUUCGGACCAAAGAUUUAUCGCCUUUGGAUGGGCCCGCGUUGGAUUAGCUAGUUGGUAGGGUAAAAGCCUACCAAGGCGACGAUCCAUAGCUGGUCUGAGAGGAUGAUCAGCCACACUGGGACUGAGACACGGCCCAGACUCCUACGGGAGGCAGCAGUGGGGAAUAUUGGACCAUGGGCGAAAGCCUGAUCCAGCAAUGCCGCGUGAGUGAUGAAGGCAUUAGGGUUGUAAAGCUCUUUUACCCGGGAUGAUAAUGACAGUACCGGGAGAAUAAGCUCCGGCUAACUCCGUG